UACGUAGGGUGCAAGCGUUAAUCGGAAUUACUGGGCGUAAAGCGUGCGCAGGCGGUUGUGCAAGACAGAUGUGAAAUCCCCGGGCUUAACCUGGGAAUUGCAUUUGUGACUGCACGGCUAGAGUGUGUCAGAGGGGGGUAGAAUUCCACGUGUAGCAGUGAAAUGCGUAGAUAUGUGGACGGAAUGACCGAUGGCGAAGGCAGCCCCCUGGGAUAACACUGACGCUCAUGCACGAAAGCGUGGGAGCAAACAGG
rnacentral:rRNA from 1 species